rnacentral:rRNA from 1 species
CCUACGUGUGGCUGCAUUCGAGAAUUAUUCACAAUGGGGGAAACCCUGCUGGUGCGACGCCGCGUGGGGGAAUGAAGGUCUUCGUAUUGUAAACCCCUGUCAUGUAGGAGCAAAUUAAAAAGAUAGUACCACAAGAGGAAGAGACGGCUAACUCUGUUCCAGCAGCCGCGGUAAUACAGCGGUCUCAAGCGUUGUUCGGAAUCACUGGGCGUAAAGCGUGCGUAGACGGUGUCGUAAGUCGUGUGUGAAGGGCGCGGGCUCAACCCGCGGAAGGCACAUGAUACUGCGAGACUAGAGUAAUGGAGGGGGAACCGGAAUUCUCGGUGUAGCGGUGAAAGGCGUAGAUAUCGGGAGGAACACUCGUGGCGAAGGCGGGUUCCUGGACAUUAACUGACGCUGAGGCACGAAGGCCAGGGGAGCGAAAGGGAUUAGAUACCCUUGUAGUC